UACGUAGGGUGCAGGCGUUAAUCGGAAUUACUGGGCGUAAAGCGUGCGCAGGCGGCUUCCUAAGUCAGAUGUGAAAUCCCCGGGCUCAACCUGGGAACUGCGUUUGAAACUGGGAGGCUAGAGUGCGGCAGAGGGGGAUGGAAUUCCGCGUGUAGCAGUGAAAUGCGUAGAUAUGCGGGGGAACACCGAUGGCGAAGGCAAUCCCCUGGACCUGUACUGACGCUCAUGCACGAAAGCGUGGGGAGCAAACAGG
rnacentral:rRNA from 1 species